rnacentral:rRNA from 1 species
CUACCCUUGACAUGCCACUAACGAAGCAGAGAUGCAUUAGGUGCUCGAAAGAGAAAGUGGACACAGGUGCUGCAUGGCUGUCGUCAGCUCGUGUCGUGAGAUGUUGGGUUAAGUCCCGCAACGAGCGCAACCCUUGUCUCUAGUUGCUACGAAAGGGCACUCUAGAGAGACUGCCGGUGACAAACCGGAGGAAGGUGGGGAUGACGUCAAGUCCUCAUGGCCCUUAUGGGUAGGGCUUCACACGUCAUACAAUGGUGCAUACAGAGGGUUGCCAAGCCGCGAGGUGGAGCCAAUCCCAGAAAAUGCAUCGUAGUCCGGAUCGUAGUCUGCAACUCGACUACGUGAAGCUGGAAUCGCUAGUAAUCGCGGAUCA